UCUGAAUCUGCGAACGGCUCCGCAAACCAGUUGUAAACCAUAGCAAGCAUGCCCCAGGAAAGCCGCAAGGCCGCCCUGGGGCUACAAGGAUAACCCCGGUAAUUCUGAGGCUAAUACAUGAACGUACCCCCUGGUCGAUGGGCAACCUGAAGCCGGGGACCGUGCGAGACCUCGCAAAAAAAUAUCGGAAAAGUCGCACAGUAAGACCGUCAUACCAAACAGUCCUUCUUUGCCGUCCUCACGGGCGGUAGGGUCGGUCUGGGCGGCUCUUGCAAGGUGCUUCUGACCUAUCAACUAGAUGGCAGCGUAAGGGACAUGCUAUGGU
rnacentral:rRNA from 1 species